GUGGGGAAUAUUGCACAAUGGGCGAAAGCCUGAUGCAGCGACGCCGCGUGAGCGAAGAAGUAUUUCGGUAUGUAAAGCUCUAUCAGCAGGGAAGAUAAUGACGGUACCUGACUAAGAAGCACCGGCUAAAUACGUGCCAGCAGCCGCGGUAAUACGUAUGGUGCAAGCGUUAUCCGGAUUUACUGGGUGUAAAGGGAGCGCAGGCGGUGCGGCAAGUCUGAUGGGAAAGCCCGGGGCUCAACGCCGGUACUGCAUUGGAAACUGUCGUACUAGAGUGUCGGAGGGGUAAGCGGAAUUCCUAGUGUAGCGGUGAAAUGCGUAGAUAUUAGGAGGAACACCAGUGGCGAAGGCGGCUUACUGGACGAUAACUGACGCUGAGGCUCGAAAGCGUGGGGAGCAAACAGGAUUAGAAACCCGGGUAGUCC
rnacentral:rRNA from 1 species